rnacentral:ncRNA from 1 species
AUAGUUUGAUUCUAGCUAUCAUAUUAUUUACCUUAUACAAGUACAUGAAACUUAAGGCCCCCUAACAAUAAAUACUAAAAGAUAGUUGUGCCUCAGUACAUAAUUCUAUAAAAAUCAUAAUAUGAGUAAUGGUAAUAAAGUAAUAGCCGGCAAAAUUCGUGCCAGCCGCCGCGGUUAGACGAUAGGCUAAAAUAAUAUACUAAGGCUGCUUGAUAAUAAAAGAUAAAUUAAAAAAUCAAAGAGGUUCAAUUCACAAUUUUAGUCUCAUAUUUAUCUAUAAACAAAUCAUAAAACCAUAAAUAAAAACAAGGAUUAGAUACCCUUCUAUUUAUGACCUACUAAAAGCCGGAUGAUACGAACAACUGUUUAAAAUCCAAAGAACUUGGCGGUAUCUUAUAAAAUCAGGGGAACCUGUCACUUAAUUCGAUAUUCCACGAACAUCCAUACCUUUUUUGAAUUACAGCCUGUGUACUGCUGUCGUCAGUAAACCUCUAAAAGUGUUUACAACAAUAUUUUUUAUUUACGUCAAGUCAAAGUGCAGCUUAUAAAAAGGAGUAGAUGGGUUACAAUCUAUAAAAAGAUACGAAAAUAAAUUUAAUAAUUUAUGGAAGGUGGACUUGACAGUAAUGACAUAAAAUCAUGAAAAUUAAUCUAAGAUAUGUACACAUCGCCCGUCACUCUCGUCUAAAGAUGAGAAAAGUCGUAACAAAGUAGACAUAACGGAAGUUGUGUCUGU